GAUGAACGCUGGCGGCGUGCCUAAUACAUGCAAGUCGAACGCACAGCGAAAGGUGCUUGCACCUUUCAAGUGAGUGGCGAACGGGUGAGUAACACGUGGAUAACCUACCUCAAGGUUGGGGAUAACAUUUGGAAACAGAUGCUAAUACCGAAUAAAACUUAGUAUCGCAUGAUACCAGGUUAAAAGGCGCUACGGCGUCACCUAGAGAUGGAUCCGCGGUGCAUUAGUUAGUGGUGGGUAAAGGCUUACCAAGACAAUGAUGCAUAGCCGAGUUGAGAGACUGAUCGGCCACAUUGGACUGAGACACGGCCCAAACUCCUACGGGAGGCUGCAGUAGGGAAUCUUCCACAAUGGGCGAAAGCCUGAUGGAGCAACGCCGCGUGUGUGAUGAAGGCUUUCGGGUCGUAAAGCACUGUUGUAUGGGAAGAACAGCUAGAGUA
rnacentral:rRNA from 1 species